rnacentral:rRNA from 1 species
UCGAACGGCGAGAGAGAGCUUGCUUUCUCGAGCGAGUGGCGAACGGGUGAGUAACACGUGAGGACCUGCCUCAAAGAGGGGGACAACAGUUGGAAACGACUGCUAAUACCGCAUAAGUCGGCAUCGAAAAAGGAGCAAUCCGCUUUGAGAUGGCCUCGCGUCCGAUUAGCUAGUUGGUGAGGUAACGGCCCACCAAGGCGACGAUCGGUAGCCGGACUGAGAGGUUGAACGGCCACAUUGGGACUGAGACACGGCCCAGACUCCUACGGGAGGCAGCAGUGGGGAAUAUUGCACAAUGGGGGAAACCCUGAUGCAGCGACGCCGCGUGGAGGAAGAAGGUCUUCGGAUUGUAAACUCCUGUUGUUGGGGAAGAUAAUGACGGUACCCAACAAGGAAGUGACGGCUAACUACGUGCCAGCAGCCGCGGUAAAACGUAGGUCACAAACGUUUUCGGAAUUACUGGGUGUAAAGGGAGCGCAGGCGGGAAGACAAGUUGGAAGUGAAAUCUAUGGGCUCAACCCAUAAACUGCUUUCAAAACUGUUUUUC